UUCUGUUCUGCAGCUUUGCUGGUGUGCUGU
rnacentral:piRNA from 1 species